UACGUAGGGUGCGAGCGUUAAUCGGAAUUACUGGGCGUAAAGCGUGCGCAGGCGGCGCGUUAAGACAGGUGUGAAAGCCCCGAGCUUAACUUGGGAAUUGCGCUUGUGACUGGCGUGCUGGAGUGUGGCAGAGGGAGGUGGAAUUCCGCGUGUAGCAGUGAAAUGCGUAGAGAUGUGGAGGAACACCGAUGGCGAAGGCAGCCUCCUGGGCCAGCACUGACGCUCAUGCACGAAAGCGUGGGGAGCGAACAGG
rnacentral:rRNA from 1 species